rnacentral:rRNA from 1 species
UACAGAGGGGGCAAGCGUUGUUCGGAAUUACUGGGCGUAAAGGGCGCGUAGGCGGCCUGUUAAGUCGAACGUGAAAUCCCCGGGCUCAACCCGGGAGCUGCGUCCGAUACUGGCAGGCUUGAAUCCGGGGAGAGGGAUGCGGAAUUCCAGGUGUAGCGGUGAAAUGCGUAGAUAUCUGGAGGAACACCGGUGGCGAAGGCGGCGA